GAUGAACGCUGGCGGCGUGCCUAAUACAUGCAAGUCGAGCGAACAGACGAGGAUCUUGCUCCUCUGACGUUAGCGGCGGACGUGUGAGUAACACGUGGAUAACCUCCCUAUAAGACUGGGAUAACUUCGGGAAACCGGAGCUAAUACCGUAUAAUAUAUUGAACCGCAUGGUUCAAUAGUUAAAGACGGUUUUGCUGUCUCUUAUAGAUGGAUCCGCGCCGCAUUAGCUAGUCGGUAAGGUAACGGCUUACCAAGGCAACGAUGCGUAGCCGACAUGAGAGGGUGAUCGGCGACACUGGAACGGAGACACGGACCAGAGGACUAAGGGAGGCAGCAGUAGGGAAUGGUCCGCAAUGGGCGAAAGACUGACGGAGCAACGCCGAGUGAGAGAUGAAGGUGUUCGGAUCGUAAAACUCUGUUAUGAGGGAAGAACAAAUGUGUAAGUAACUAAGCACGGAGUGACGGUAACUAAUCAGAAAGCCACGGCUAACUACGUG
rnacentral:rRNA from 1 species